UCGCUGUACCGCAACGAAUAGCGCGUUGGACUUCUAAUCCAAAGGUCGUGGGUUCGAAUCCCACCUUGUAAU